GUUAAUGCGUAUGCUCUCCCUCAUACCAACGGAUGAGCUGUGAAAGACCAGACGCAAUUCUCCUGUCUCCACAUUUACAGUGCCGAAACCCGGGAAGGAGGAGGGAUGCCCGUCACAGAGUCCUCAACACUGCGUCCACCCAAAGGAACGCAGCUGCCAUCCGCCGGGGAACGGAGUAGCCCGACCACCCGGACGCGGGGAACGGCCGCCGUCCGCGAGGUGAGUGGACUGGACUCCCCGACCGCCUGGAGUGAUGGAGCUGCUGUCAGGGGUGGAGGAGUGCCCUGCCGUCCCCAAGAAAUGCGGAGGGGUCGAGAGAAGACCGCCGUCCAUGAGGGGAGAAGGGAAGCGACUCCCCGACCGCCUGGAGCGGUAGGGCUGCUGCCAGGGGCGGAGGAGUGUCCCCACGGGUCGCCGGGAACGCGGAGGGGCAUUCUGUCCGCUGGGGGUCGGAGGUCUGACUCCGGUCUGCCCGGGGAGGAGCGGCUGCCGUCCACCUGAGAGGGUGGAGGAGUGAUCGAGGACCACGCGACGGCGCAUCAGAGAACUGGUCGAGGAAGGCGGGGAUGACCCAUCAGCAGUCGGGGCGCAAGGCACCAUAAAUAUUGGCUGAAAUAGUGUAUUUUAGUGAGAUGGAACUAUGUUAAUAUUUAAAGUACAGAAUAAAAUUUGCAUAGAUUUUAUAAUUUGUCAUCUUGGAUAAACAUUUUCAAUAAGCUUUUCACAUUCUAAGAUUCACUGAUUCCCAAAGGACACAUGUAAC